AUUGAACGCUGGCGGCAGGCCUAGCACAUGCAAGUCGAGCGGAUGAAGGGAGCUUGCUCCUGGAUUCAGCGGCGGACGGGUGAGUAAUGCCUAGGAAUCUGCCUGGUAGUGGGGGAUAACGUCCGGAAACGGGCGCUAAUACCGCAUACGUCCUGAGGGAGAAAGUGGGGGAUCUUCGGACCUCACGCUAUCAGAUGAGCCUAGGUCGGAUUAGCUAGUUGGUGGGGUAAAGGCCUACCAAGGCGACGAUCCGUAACUGGUCUGAGAGGAUGAUCAGUCACACUGGAACUGAGACACGGUCCAGACUCCUACGGGAGGCAGCAGUGGGGAAUAUUGGACAAUGGGCGAAAGCCUGAUCCAGCCACGCCGCGUGUGUGAAGAAGGUCUUCGGAUUGUAAAGCACUUUAAGUUGGGAGGAAGGGCAGUAAGUUAAUACCUUGCUGUUUUGACGUUACCAACAGAAUAAGCACCGGCUAACUUCGUG
rnacentral:rRNA from 1 species